rnacentral:rRNA from 1 species
UACGAAGGGGGCUAGCGUUGCUCGGAAUUACUGGGCGUAAAGGGCGCGUAGGCGGCACUGUUAGUCAGGCGUGAAAUUCCUGGGCUCAACCUGGGGACUGCGCUUGAUACGGCAGAGCUUGAGGAUGGAAGAGGGUCGCGGAAUUCCCAGUGUAGAGGUGAAAUUCGUAGAUAUUGGGAAGAACACCGGUGGCGAAGGCGGCGACCCGGUCCAUUACUGACGCUGAGGCGCGACAGCGUGGGGAGCAAACAGG